CAAAUACUCCCUUCGUCCAGAAAUACUUGUCGCAGAAAUGCAUAAAAAUGGAUGUAUUUAGAACUAAAAUAUGUCUAGAUACAUCCAUUUCUCCGACAAGUAUUUCCGGGCGGAGGGAGUAUAUC
rnacentral:pre_miRNA from 1 species